AAAGAAUUAGUUAAAAUUAUAACUUAAAUAUGUCAAAUUUAUAUUAUUACUCAAUGUAAUAUUCUUUU
rnacentral:tRNA from 1 species